rnacentral:rRNA from 1 species
UACAGAGGGUGCGAGCGUUUAAUCGGAAUUACUGGGCGUAAAAGCGCGCGUAGGCGGCUUUGCAAGUCGGGUGUGAAAUCCCCAGGCUUAACCUGGGAACUGCAUUCGAGACUGCAUUGCUAGAGUAUGGGAGAGGGAAGUGGAAUUUCCGGUGUAGCGGUGAAAUGCGUAGAUAUCGGAAGGAACAUCAGUGGCGAAAGCGACUUCCUGGACCAAUACUGACGCUCAUGUGCGAAAGCGUGGGGAGCAAACAGG